GACGAACGCUGGCGGCGUGCCUAAUACAUGCAAGUCGAGCGGACGAAUCGAAAGCUUGCUUUUGAUUCGUUAGCGGCGGACGGGUGAGUAACACGUGGGCAACCUGCCCUGUAGACGGGGAUAACACCGAGAAAUCGGUGCUAAUACCGGAUAACACGAAAUGUCGCAUGACGUUUCGUUGAAAGACGGCGCAAGCUGUCGCUACAGGAUGGGCCCGCGGCGCAUUAGCUAGUUGGUGAGGUAACGGCUCACCAAGGCGACGAUGCGUAGCCGACCUGAGAGGGUGAUCGGCCACACUGGGACUGGGACACGGCCCAGACUCCUACGGGAGGCAGCAGUAGGGAAUCUUCCGCAAUGGACGUAAGUCUGACGGAGCAACGCCGCGUGAGCGAAGAAGGCCUUCGGGUCGUAAAGCUCUGUUGUUAGGGAAGAACAAGUAACGCAGUAACUGGCGUUACCGUGACGGUACCUAACGAGAAAGCCACGGCUAACUACGUG
rnacentral:rRNA from 1 species